ACGCACGCUGGCGGCGUGCUUAACACAUGCAAGUCGAACGGAAAGGCCCUGCUUUUGUGGGGUGCUCGAGUGGCGAACGGGUGAGUAACACGUGAGUCACCCGCCCUUGACUUUGGGAUAACUUCAGGAAACUGGGGCUAAUACCGGAUAGGAGCUCCUGCUGCCUGGUGGGGGUUGGAAAGUUUCGGCGGUUGGGGAUGGACUCGCGGCUUAUCAGCUUGUUGGUGGGGUAGUGGCUUACCAAGGCUUUGACGGGUAGCCGGCCUGAGAGGGUGACCGGCCACAUUGGGACUGAGAUACGGCCCAGACUCCUACGGGAGGCAGCAGUGGGGAAUAUUGCACAAUGGGCGGAAGCCUGAUGCAGCAACGCCGCGUGCGGGAUGACGGCCUUCGGGUUGUAAACCGCUUUCGCCUGUGACGAAGCGUGAGUGACGGUAAUGGGUAAAGAAGCACCGGCUAACUACGUG
rnacentral:rRNA from 1 species